GACGACGAUUCACAUGUUUGGUUGGAUUUUUGUAAGUCUUACAAGGUUUCUAUAGAUAUACGUUUAACUCAAUUUUGUCCUCCAGUAACUAAAUUACUUCAGCACGAGACCGCAAACUAUGUAGCAGGACACUGUAUAUUAAUUAAUUCGAAUCAGUAUUUUUACUAAAAUUUAUUUUAUCGAUCUUUCUUCAGUUCCCGCCCCAGAAGUAAAAGGGUCAAUGUUGACCUCGGCUGGAUUUCAACUAGGAACGUAAAAGGCAGUAAAAUACCACAAGCCAUCAAAUUGACGCCGUGGCCUCCCUAGUCUCCAGGCGAACAAAUGUUAAUAAGUAGGACUCACAGGGCAACACAGCUCUACGUCAGGCUGUGGAGAAGAACUUAUAAAGAUGUAGUCAAAGUCCUGUUAAAAAAGAAAGGAAAUAACAUUUUACAGGUUACUCAGCGACAUAUUAAUGGCGGUGGGACACCUCUACAUGUUGCCUCUCAGGAGGGACACACAGACAUUGUUAAACUACUACAACAUAAUUCUGCUGAUGUCAGUGUUGUGGCCGUCAAUGGUUGGACGCACAGACGUUAAACUUCUACAACAGAAUGACCUCUACGUCUGGCAGUUCAAAAGGAGGAAUUUAGAAAUCAAAAAUGUCCAACUGGAAAAUAUCAAGUGUGACAACACUUAAAACAUUUAAGAACAGAGCUUCCAGAUGCUGUACACAUGGUACACAAGUUCUGAUCAAGAGAGACAAACACUGAAAACACUCAGAGAAGCUCUUGAUCAAAUGCCUUCCAGCCAGGACCCUCCUGUCUUUAUGUAGGGAACCCAGAAUCACAUUGUCCAAUGUGUUCUUCUAUAAGGUGAUAAUUGAAUCAAAGAGGAUUUGGCUACUAAUUCUAGCAAAUCUAUCUACCACAUAAGAGAUUCCAUUCCUGAAUUGGUUCCUUCUUAGAAAUUAACUUUUGAAAUAAAGAUAAACUUUGAAAUGUU